rnacentral:ncRNA from 1 species
CAUCAAGAGAGACUGAGGGACUGGCCCUGUGAUGUUUCAGCAACCUGCCGUUAUGGUGUGGUGCUAAUUCCAGACAGAUGGAUAGACUAAUAAAAU